AUCCCUGCGGAAUUAGUUUUGCACUAGGGUGGAACCUCUUGUUAAUUUAGUGAACGAUUUAAGUCUGUAGGAAGCUUGCCCAAUUUUCAGAAGCUUGUCCGGCGUUAGUGGCUCGUGUUUCUGAACGAGGUUUUUAAGGCAGAAACCGUUUUAUCUUUGGUUAGUUGUAUGGCGUGUAAGUUUUACUUUUGUGACUUUGUGAAUUUGGAGUUUUCGGAUUUAAGUGAAGUAAGUGUUAAGAGUACUUAAAGCAUCAGUGGGCUUCCAAUAACUUUUCCACAGAAAGGUCUACCAAAGUGAAUGUAGUGUCAAAGGAUUUGGAAGUCAGUUGAAGUCAAACCCACAUACCAUUCUGGCUGAAGGGAGUAACCUGUUUUGAGUGGACCAGUAAAGAAGCAGUUGCUAGGAUUUGAAGUGACUGUGAAAAACCAUUCCUGGCUGAAGGGCAUAACCUGUUUAAGAGUGGACCAGUCCAGCAGCAGUUGCAUUGAAUGUUAGCCACUUCAGAUAAUUUGGUUUACUUGGCUUUAAUUGGUAACAAGGAUUUUCACUUAAGAAAAUAAAGUACUUAACUUU